CUUAAAUUUAAAAAUCAAAAAGCCUUUAAUAGCUAAACAACAUUAUAAGAAAUUCAAAAUGAACAGUACAAUAUUUCACGAAAUAGAAAAUUCUCUGAGCAAGUCCAAAGUAACUUAUCAAAGCGGCUGCAGGAGUAUUCUAACAGUCCUUUUCCCGCUUUAGUCAUUUGAAAACUCCUGAGGUGUGUGUUCUUGGGUGCAUUUGAAUGUCAUUGGCUUCUCCUUCAAAGUGUCUCCUUCAUUGUCCCCUUCACAUCGAGGUGUGAAGCGGCAGCUGUAACCUGAAACCUCUCUGUCCUAUCUGUCCCUCACAUUCCAAUACAUUCAAUGUAGAUACAGUCGGCUUUAUGCCUCAAAGAGUGAACAUAUUACAACACAUCAUUAAUGAUCACCGUUCAUCACACUUCAUCAUAAGAUCUAAAACAGUUCAUGUGGUUCAAUUCUCAAGACAUUUGCCUCAAUUGGCUGCUUUGCAUUAAGUUGCUCAUCUACUACCUGACAGGAGAAAAAAAUCCCCAAAAAAAACUCUUUGGGGAGAAAAUUGGGAGAAAUCCAUAAAGGACGGCAACUAGCAUCCGUCCCCAGGUUAUAACAUCACAUUGUGACAGAAUGUUAAUGUGUACAGUGUUUAUAUGUUUUAAAUGACUAUAAAUUGUGUUUGAUUCAUAUUGCAUUCACUUCAUCUAACAUUAUAAUGUAAUACCUAAUAUCUAAUAACACGCAAACUACAAUUCUAACACUAAACAUCAUUACACGUAUUAUAAUCUCCACCACUAGUAGUGCACUUCUUGCUUAAAUCCCUAACAUGUAACAACACGAAUACUCCACACAGUUUGAGGUACUCGAAGAGCCACCUGUUCCAUAGGAGGCAGAUAUUUUACAAUAUAAUAUUUUAUAAUAAAAACACAAUUAUGUUUUACAACAUCUCCAACAUUUGAUGUAAUCAAAGGGAUUAAUGUAUUGUGGACCCUUAAAAAACUACGUUGUAAAUAUAACUCAAAAUUCAGUGUUUCUGUAUCACUUUUUCUUUUCCGAUGGACCAAUUGCAUGAUUUUAAGAUAGUGGGUCAAAUGUCUAUUUUCCUUUCUUGCUCUGAGUUCCAUUGAGAAGUUUCCAAAAUGACUCCUAAACUAAGACUCGUUAAAUGAAAUUUGAAGGCUAUGUUAGAAGCUCUCCGAGUGAGAACCUUUGAGUACGGCCCCUGACAUUUUGCAUUUUGCGAUCAUCCAUUUUCAUAGCUAGCAUGUGACUUACUCUAAUGUCGGGUGACAAGGCACCAUCCUCAACAAUUGCUUCAUUUCUGUUAAUAAAGCAGCAAAACCUUCAAGCAGCAUAACCUCCUUCAUAUUUCCAACUUCUACGUCGGAAGAAUUUGUGAUGCAACUGGUAAAAAAACACUUUCAUGGUUCCUUUAAAACUUCUAAACUAUGGAAAUGGUAAGGGCUUUCUGGUGGGAGACGGGUGGGAGACAGGAGACGCUUCUGAAUGUUUCCCCCGAUAGAAUCAUCACUGCAACAGCUGAAAAUACAAAAUCAUCCUCCUGUUUUUGAAAUGUUUACUUGCUAGAUUAAGAACAAUAAGAGAAAAUUGACUUGUCUGAGGUGAAUUUUGGUGAAGAAACAAGUCAUUCAAUUGUUUUCACAGUUGUUAUGCAAACUUCAAUGCCUAAAUGUAUUGACUUUUUAGAUCAAUAUUUAAGUUAUCCCACAGAGCUUUAACUCAAAGCAUUUGCCUAAAAUGUCAUCUGUCCUGGAAAGCAUGUUUUUUUCCCAUCGAUUUUACCCAGAACUCCAGUUGGUUUGAAAUUAGCUCGUAAUUGCCGUUUACUUAACAUCUAAAUUGCAUUUACUGGCAAAUAACAGCAGUUGUUUUGGAAACAACCUAAUUGAGAGAACUCUCCGUGCAGCUGAUGCCUUGCAAAUGGAGCUGAUUGCAGAUGUAGCACAAUUUCCUCAAUGGUUUCGGAGUAAAUUAGUUCAAAAACAAGAUUAGUUGUAUGUCGGCGCUUGCGUACUGGAGGUCUUUCUCUCCUUAUGUAUGGAGGUAAUGAUUGCUGGACCAGUCCAUUGAUUUGUUUUAAAGAAUGAGCCAAUGAAGAAGGUUCAGCAGUGAUUUAUUUGGCACAGACAAAUUAUGUUGCCAAGCCGAUAGCAUACAGAUCAGAAAACCCUCUGUGUGUCGUGUAUAU
ensembl:lncRNA